GUUAUCGAUUGUUGAGAACAAUGGUGAUCAGUGAUUGGUCUUUGAGAACAAUGGUGAUUAGUUAUUGGUUGUUGAGAACAGUGGUGAUUGGUCUUUGAGAAAAAGGUGAUCAACGAUUGGUUGUUGAGAACAGUGGGGAUCAGUGAUUGGGAACAAAGGUGAUCAGUGAUUGGUUGUUGAGAACAAUGGGGAUCAGUGAUUGGGAACAAAGGUGAUCAGUGAUUGGUUGUUGAGAACAAUGGGGAUCAGUGAUUGGGAACAAAGGUGAUCAGUGAUUGGGAACAAAGGUGAUCAGUGAUUGGUUGUUGAGAACAAUGGGGAUCAGGGAUUGGGAACAAAGCUGAACCAGAUGAAAAACUUCUAAUUAUUUAAAACAUCAUUUGCUGAUUUUGUCCUAAAUGCAUUAUAAGAAUUUUCGGUUUUCAUUAGUGGGGUCAGUUUUGCUUACAAUUCCAGACAGAAUUCCAGACAGUAGUCUAUUAGCCCUGUUGCUAAUGAUAACUGUAAUG
ensembl:lncRNA